CCUACGGUAGACAGCAGUGAGGAAUAUUGGUCAAUGGGCGAGAGCCUGAACCAGCCAAGUCGCGUGAAGGAUGACGGCCCUACGGGUUGUAAACUUCUUUUGUCAGGGAGCAAUUGAGGCCACGUGUGGGCUUAGCGAGAGUACCUGAAGAAAAAGCAUCGGCUAACUCCGUGCCAGCAGCCGCGGUAAGACGGAGGAUGCGAGCGUUAUCCGGAUUUAUUGGGGUUAAAGGGUGCGUAGGCGGAAUAUCAAGUCAGCGGUAAAAAUUCGGGGCUCAACCCCGUCGUGCCGUUGAAACUGAGGGUCUUGAUUGGGCGAGAAGAAUGCGGAAUGCGUGGUGUAGCGGUGAAAUGCAUAGAUAUCACGCAGAACCCCGAUUGCGAAGGCAGCAUACCGGCGCCCUACUGACGCUGAAGCACGAAAGCGUGGGUAUCGAACAGGAUUAGAUACCCCGGUAGUC
rnacentral:rRNA from 1 species